GGUUCCAUAGUGUAGCGGUUAGCAUGUCUGCUUUACACACAGGAAGUCCUGGGUUCAGACCCCAGUGGAGCCA
rnacentral:tRNA from 1 species